GACGUAGGGCGCGAGCGUUGUCCGGAUUUAUUGGGCGUAAAGAGCUCGGAGGCGGCUUGUUGCGUCAGCCGUGAAAACCUGCAGCUUAACUGUGGGCUUGCGGUUGAUAAGGGCAGGCUGGAGUUCGGUAGGGGAGACUGGAAUUCCUGGUGUAGCGGUGAAAUGCGCAGAUAUCAGGAGGAACACUGGUGGCGAACGCGGGUCUCUGGGCCGAUACUGACGCUGAGGAGCGAAAGCAUGGGGAGCGAACAGG
rnacentral:misc_RNA from 1 species